rnacentral:misc_RNA from 1 species
AACGCACCUUGCGCUCCUUGGUAUUCCGAGGAGCAUGCCUGUUUGAGUGUCAUGGAAUUCUCAACCCUCAAAUCUUUGUUGAUUUGGUGGGCUUGGACUUGGAGGUCAGUGUCGGCUUGUUACCAAGUCGACUCCUCUGAAAUAUAUUAGCGUGAAUCUUACGGAUCGCUCUUCGGUGUGAUAAUUGUCUACGCCGUGUUCGUGAAGUAUAUCAGUGUUCUUGCUUAUAAUCGUCCCUUGUGGACAACUUUAUGACAUCUGACCUCAAAUCAGGUAGGACUACCCGCUGAACUUAA